ACACGUGAGUAACCUGCCCUUAACUCUGGGAUAAGCCUGGGAAACUGGGUCUAAUACCGGAUAGGAGCGUCCACCGCAUGGUGGGUGUUGGAAAGAUUUAUCGGUUUUGGAUGGACUCGCGGCCUAUCAGCUUGUUGGUGAGGUAAUGGCUCACCAAGGCGACGACGGGUAGCCGGCCUGAGAGGGUGACCGGCCACACUGGGACUGAGACACGGCCCAGACUCCUACGGGAGGCAGCAGUGGGGAAUAUUGCACAAUGGGCGAAAGCCUGAUGCAGCGACGCCGCGUGAGGGAUGACGGCCUUCGGGUUGUAAACCUCUUUCAGUAGGGAAGAAGCGAAAGUGACGGUACCUGCAGAAGAAGCACCGGCUAACUACGUGCCAGCAGCCGCGGUAAUACGUAGGGUGCGAGCGUUAUCCGGAAUUAUUGGGCGUAAAGAGCUCGUAGGCGGUUUGUCGCGUCUGUCGUGAAAGUCCGGGGCUUAACCCCGGAUCUGCGGUGGGUACGGGCAGACUAGAGUGCAGUAGGGGAGACUGGAAUUCCUGGUGUAGCGGUGGAAUGCGCAGAUAUCAGGAGGAACACCGA
rnacentral:rRNA from 1 species